rnacentral:rRNA from 1 species
UACGGGGGGAGCAAGCGUUGUUCGGAUUUACUGGGCGUAAAGGGCGCGUAGGCGGCGCAACAAGUCACUUGUGAAAUCUCCGGGCUUAACCCGGAGCGGCCAAGUGAUACUGUCGUGCUAGAGUGCGGAAGGGGCAACUGGAAUUCUCGGUGUAGCGGUGAAAUGCGUAGAUAUCGAGAGGAACACCUGCGGCGAAGGCGGGUUGCUGGGCUGACACUGACGCUGAGGCGCGAAAGCCAGGGGAGCGAACGGG